rnacentral:lncRNA from 1 species
AACAGAUAAAUAUCUGAGCUGAGAUGGUUCAACAUAGGCCUAACUAGUCAGCUCAAUAUUUUCUUAAAAAAAAUAAAUAUUAAAUUAAAAAAAAAAAAAAAAGGCAAUACAGGAAGAGACUGAUAAUUGGAAGAAUAACAAUGAAGUUACUCUCACAACCUAGGAAUAGAGAAGUCUAUGAAGGCAACCAUGAAUAAAAAGUUCAGAGAACAGUUUCUUCAUUCUAGAACUAGAAGACCAUUGGGAGAGAAGGGACAUCUGUCACCAAAAAAGAAAAGGCCAAGAAGGACAGGACAGAGGAAUCUCAGCUUGUUGCAACCCACCAGCACUGCUAUGAUUCUCUACAGAAAAUGUGAAUACUUCAUACUCCUUCACUGUAAAGAUGAGAAUUCAUUCAUCCUCAGAAAUCUCUACCUUCCUUGCAGUUGCUGCAGAAGAUAAGAUCACAUACACUAAUCCUGCCAUGUUCAGAGAUGUUCUGAGACAGCCAUUAAAUUCAUGCUAAGUGAGAAGCAAAAUGAGAAGACUCUUCUUGAAGCUAUGCUGCUGACAUGCAUCACAUGGAAAAGUUUUGUGAAGGUGGCUGACUUCAUCAUCCCGUGGAGCUUUCUAAAUCCUGUCACUGGGCUUGAAAAAGUGAAAUAUAAAAUAAAAUAAAAUAAAAUAAAAUAAAAUAAAAUAAA